UACGGGGGGGGCAAGCGUUGUUCGGAAUUACUGGGCGUAAAGGGCGCGUAGGCGGCCUUCUAAGUCAGACGUGAAAUCCCUCGGCUUAACCGGGGAACUGCGUCUGAUACUGGAGGGCUUGAAUUCGGGAGAGGGAUGUGGAAUUCCAGGUGUAGCGGUGAAAUGCGUAGAUAUCUGGAGGAACACCGGUGGCGAAGGCGGCAUCGUGGACCGAGAUUGACGCUGAGGCGCGAAAGCUAGGGGAGCAAACGGG
rnacentral:rRNA from 1 species